CUUUCAACAACGGAUCUCUUGGUUCUGGCAUCGAUGAAGAACGCAGCGAAAUGCGAUACGUAGUGUGAAUUGCAGAAUUCAGUGAAUCAUCGAAUCUUUGAACGCACAUUGCGCCCGCUAGUAUUCUGGCGGGCAUGCCUGUUCGAGCGUCAUUUCAACC
rnacentral:rRNA from 1 species